ensembl:lncRNA
CUACCACCCUAAGGAGUAGCUUAUCUAUGAGUCUAGGAAGGACAUGAACAUGCUAUUGUUUUCCCCAUGUUAUCUUCUGAAUUUCAACCCUUCCUCAAAGAGCAGAGGACUGGACAGUUAGGGCAAGGAGCAUGUGGUUACAAAGAGGUCAGUGGAGGUCAUUAUUUUAUCCAACUGAUACAGUCACUUUCAAAGUAUGAAGAUUCCCAUGGACUUCCCAGGGGCCAGUGCUCUCAAGGUCCCUCCUGGCUUCAGGCCCCUACUUUCCCUGAAUUACAAAGCCUCAGCACAUUUAUUGCUGUGUGUGGAUAAUUUGUGGGAAGCCCUAGGCUCUGGGAAGACAUGUCACAAACAUCUGGAAAUGCAUUGGCAGCUUUUUCUCUCCAGAAAUCCUUUGGUCAAGUCUGAAAUCAUGGCUCUCCUUUCUCUUAGGCUCUGUUCUCAGACUCCAAGGGCUGAGGUGGUCUUUACUGACGUUGCUGAUCCUGUGUCGCCAACCUCACCUUCUGUACCUGUGUUGCCAACUCAGAAUUAUAUUAUCAUGAUUUUUAAAAGCCAUGAAGCUAUAGGACCCAGACACAGCUGAUCAAACACAAUUACUGACUUGAAGAUUCAGAAAGUUCACUUUACUAAGUAUCUGCUAAAACCUCAAGUGACAACUUUGAAGAAAGUGUGCCUCAGACUUCUUCCUACAAGGGUGCUCACCUUAUGCAUAUGCGAAUACCUACCCUCAGAGGUAAGUCCUGCCAUGAGUCCAAAUUGCUAUAGUAAAUCAGCAGUUCAUUCCGUGUGGGCCCCGAGCAAGGCUUUGUACUAUUUGCUUUGAGUUGUUUGAAUAGGAUCACUUCCUCAGCCCCUGCAUGGCAAACUGGAAAGGGGGUUCAUGAUAUGAUAGUUUGCUGGCUUAAACCUCUUUCACUAUAAGUUCUAGACUUCAGACUCCGGAUGGAGUUGGGUGGGGCUGGGGUGUAGUUCAGCGGGAAAGCACUUGCUAGCGUCCUCAAGGACUUGGCUUUGGUCCUCGGCUUUGCAAACAGAGCCUGACACCAAAGGGACUUUGCAGAGAAGACACGGUGUAUUUACUAUAGAUUUUAGGCAUAGAUCUGAGAUAGGGCAAUGGAUGAAUACCAUAGGCAGUUGGACCAGAUAUAAGUCCAGGACAUGGUCUACAUGACAUCUCUUCAUAAAACAGUGUUUGCUUUUUUUUUCUCAAAGUCUAUACACCCUGACGUCACAUUUUAUUUUAAAAACAUCAGAUAGGAAUAGUAUGACAAGGAUGUUUGUUGGGUGAAGCACUCCACAGUGGUCCAAGCUCCACAGGGUCAACUGUAGCUCCCUCAUUCACUGUCUAAAGCAGUACCUGCCUUCUAAGAUCAAGCUGAGGGAAAAAGAAAUGGCUAGCUUCACAGUAUGACAAAGAUUUAUAAUACUUAUGCUUGAAAAAGAAAGCCUUAGUGUUUGGUUACAUAAAAGAAUUGAUCACUAUAAAGCCCCCUCUUCAGCCUUUUACUAGCCAAUUUAGUUAAUUGUCUGAAGAUUGAUAUCCCCAAAUAUAAAUUUAUAUAAGGGUGUAUUAGAAACACAAAUAUCCCUUGAAACAGAAUUAAGUCAGUAGUUGCAUAUAACAAAAGAAAAUGCAGAAGAAUUUAUUACAUCUUACAUUUCUUACCUUUUCUGUAUUUAUUUAUUUUAAAUGUUUAUUAUUUAUUCGUUUAGUGUAUAUGUGUGUUUGUGUGUGUGUGUGUGUGUGUUUAUCACACAUGAGUGUGUGUGCCAAGGCACAUUUGUGAGAGUCAGAGAACAGUUUGCGGAGUCAGUUUUUCCUUCCAUCCCUCAGGUCCUGGGGGUUGAACUCAGUUUGUUCAGUUUGGUGGUGAAUGUCUUUCACCCACAGCCAUUUUGUCAGACAGGGUCUCAUGUAGUCCAGGUUGGUCUUGUGGUUGCUAUGUGAAUAAAGAUGUCAUAGAAUUCCUGACUCCUCA